rnacentral:lncRNA from 13 species
AUGUACAGACAUGUACAGAAUGAUUGUAUUUUUCCUUGUUGUCCUUCUUUCUAUUUGUGUUUACAUGUUUACUUCAGUCUGUCUGUAAUAGUAGCCUGGUCUAGAAUCAGUUCUUAUUGCAGCAAGUUAGAAACCUUGGUGGACAGUGUGAAGAUUAAUUUGGACUGGUCUAGGAUCAGUGCUCAAGACAGUGGGUUUGUUAGGCUCUUUGUUACGGUUGCAGAAUUCUGUACAUUUUUCCAAUAUUCCCCAAAAUUUCCAGGAUUUCUUGAAAACCAGGGAAUGAUCUAAAAGUAUAUAUGCCAAGCUGUGUAUUGUUAUCUUAGACAAAUACUGAAGAUUUCAUUUUAAAAAAUGAUGUAAAUUUAUGGUGCCAUUAAACCAGACUAGUCUAGUUACAUUGUCUGUAGAUAGAUACCACAGUAAACAACAAUAACAGUAGUUAAUAGGGAUGCAACCCAAAAUGUCACCCUAUUCCCUAUAAUGUUAUAGUGCACUACCUUUGACCAGAAUCCUAUGGGCCCUGGUCAAAAGUAGUGCACUAUUUACAAAAUAGGGUGCCAUUUGGGAAGCAGGUGUCUGGCCCUAAAGGGUUUCUUUAGGUCAGUGGUAGGUGGUGAGGGGAGGACGGCUCAUACACUGGAAAGGAAUUUAUUAGAACGGUAUGUGUAUGAUGCCGUUCAAUUUAUUCCAUUCCAGCCAUUACAAUGAGCCCAUCCUCCGGUUUAAAGUGGCACCAGCCACCACUGCUUUAGGUCAGUGUUAUUUUAUGUAUUAAUACAUGCAGCCAGUAAAAUGAUUUGAACCGAUGGACUCAAUGUGUUUGAAACCCCUGUUGUACUGCCGAUAGAUCCAUUGUUAAAAGAUGCAUGAUGUGAUUUUGCUUGGAUGGAGUCAGUAGAGGAUAUGGUUUUAUAUGCAAAUGAAGGUACAGAGGAAUGUCAAAUAGUAUAGUUUAAAAGGUGUCUGUGCACAAUGAAGCCAUGAGACAUUAGAAUGGGGAUUUGGGGAUUUUUGGACUGCGUCCCUGGGUAGAUCUAUCGUGUUUCCCAAAUUGACCCCUAUUCCGUAUUUCGUGCAAUACUUUUGACCAGGGCCCAUAGGAAUAGCGGGUGCUAUUAAGUACAGCACCAAGAUGUUUCUUUCCAUGCUACAGUAAAGCCUGUUUUUAAAACUGGAAUCAUUUUCAGAGGACACUGUUUACUUUCAACAACAGUCCAUGUACAAAGCCAAGGACUACAUCCUGUAGCCUUAACCUUUUACUGCAGUGGGCUAAAUCAGGGUCACACCGAGUGUUUCUUCGUAGUCUUAAACAAGUCUACUUUGAAACAAAAGUAUACACCUCACACACAUGGUUCUGGGCUUAAACAAGAAGACAUCGGUACCAUGUCAGAUAUAGAGUUUAAAUGUAUUACAUUUUGAGUUUGCAUCACAAAAUUACACUUUAUAUACAUCACAGAAGACUGAAAAAUAUAUAUUUUUCAACGUUUGACAUAGAAACAUUGGAUUUUUGGAGUUAAAAAAAAUCUUUGUUUAUUAAUUAUGAAAUUAUAAAAAAUAUUAAUAACAUUCCACCCAUGAGGCCACUAACUAAUUUGACUGCAGGAAAGGGCUAUGCUGCGAUUCAAUCCAAUCAUGCUUUUUCGGCAAUGCACAUUUUUAAGGCAAUGUUCCCCGAUCGUGGACACCACAUUCACGGUAAACACUGCAUAUGUCGGCUCAAUCAGAAAUGACGUAUAAAUUGUCGCAUUGACCAAAUUAGAAAUCGGCUUGAAUACCAGCGUAACGUUGGAUAGAAUACUUUUUUCAUUCCAGUGUUUAUUUCAUGGCUCUGAUCAUUUGAAGCGCCCACCAAGUGGCAUUUGAAUAUGGGUAAUUUGGUAAGAAGACUAAAAGGGAAUGUUUUUGUUCCCAUCCAGUCAUGCCUGCUGCUCCUAUGUCAGAAACGCAAAGUACGUCCCAAAUGGCACCCUAUUCCCUAUAUAGCUCACUAUAUAGAAAAUACAGUGCCAUUUGCAACACAUUCACCUUUCUAUCUCUAGAACACACGUUAUGAGUGUGUAUGACACAGAGAGAAGAAGACCAAGGGUUGUCAAGUCUGUGCCUGUGUGUUUGUCAGUUAGUGAUGUAAAGUUCCAGUAGUAGUUUCUGUUU